rnacentral:tRNA from 1 species
GGAAGCGUGCCCGAGAAGGGACUACAUUGAUAGAGUAGACACGGAACUAAAAACUCCCGCCUCCC